CUUCAAAAUUUAUACCUUAAAUUUAUAUUCAAUUUUUUAAUGUUCUUAUUAUAAGACGAAUAAUUAUUUUAUGUAGAAAAUUGAAUGAAAUACCACUAAACUAUUACUAUAUUGCAAGUUUGAAAGUACUAAAUUAAAGUUAAAAGAAGACCACUUGUACUUUUAUCAAGUAAUUGGACAAUUACACUCUACACGUAGAGAGAAAUGUUUUUUGUAAUUUAUACUAACAAAUGAAUAAAUAUAGAGGAUAUAUACUACAAUCAAACAUUUUGGAAUGAAAAAAUGUCAAACCAACUUAGAAUGUUUUACAUGGAGUGUUUACUCCCAGAGAUUGUAAAUCAUCAGUUCCCAAAGAGAUUGCUCAAAUCGGAUAUAAAAGAACCAAAAAAAUAUCAAAAAACA